rnacentral:rRNA from 1 species
GAUGAACGCUGGCGGCGUGCCUAAUACAUGCAAGUCGAGCGAACGGACGAGAAGCUUGCUUCUCUGAUGUUAGCGGCGGACGGGUGAGUAACACGUGGAUAACCUACCUAUAAGACUGGGAUAACUUCGGGAAACCGGAGCUAAUACCGGAUAAUAUUUUGAACCGCAUGGUUCAAAAGUGAAAGACGGUCUUGCUGUCACUUAUAGAUGGAUCCGCGCUGCAUUAGCUAGUUGGUAAGGUAACGGCUUACCAAGGCAACGAUGCAUAGCCGACCUGAGAGGGUGAUCGGCCACACUGGAACUGAGACACGGUCCAGACUCCUACGGGAGGCAGCAGUAGGGAAUCUUCCGCAAUGGGCGAAAGCCUGACGGAGCAACGCCGCGUGAGUGAAGAAGGUCUUCGGAUCGUAAAACUCUGUUAUUAGGGAAGAAAAUAUGUGUAAGUAACUGUGCACAUCUUGACGGUACCUAAUCAGAAAGCCACGGCUAACUACGUG